ACUUAGGUAGCUUAUAUUUAGAGUUUGAUAUUGAAGAUAUCAAGGAAAUAAUUUUUAUUCUUAAGUA
rnacentral:tRNA from 1 species